ACAUACGGCCACAGGAAACUCGGCAGCAGGGAAACCCGUUUGAUCUUCCAUACUUAAACAGUUUACCGGCGGGUUAGUAGUCAGGUGGGAGACCACUGGCGAAUACCCGCUGUCGUAUGUA
rnacentral:rRNA from 1 species